rnacentral:rRNA from 1 species
GAUGAACGCUGGCGGCGUGCCUAAUACAUGCAAGUCGAACGGGGAGUAGCAAUACUCUUAGUGGCGAACGGGUGAGUAACGCGUUGGUACCUGCCCCGAAGCGGGGGAUAACGGACCGAAAGGUCCGCUAAUACCCCAUGUGCUCGGUAACGAGUAAAGGUGAAAACCACUUUGGGAGGGGCCUGCGUCCCAUCAGCUAGUUGGUAAGGUAACGGCUUACCAAGGCGAUGACGGGUAGGGGACCUGAGAGGGUGGCCCCCCACAAUGGAACUGAAACGCGGUCCAUACACCUACGGGUGGCAGCAGUAGGGAAUAUUGGUAAUGGGCGCAAGCCUGAACCAGCAACGCCGCGUGUGCGAUAACGGCCUUCGGGGUGUAAAGCACUUUUGACUGGGACGAGGAAGGACGGUACCGGUCGAAUCAGCCUCGGCUAACUACGUG